rfam:Ipomoea nil DNA, scaffold: scaffold1407, cultivar: Tokyo-kokei standard.
GUGAGGGGAUGAUAGAAUUCAUUAGUCUGUCAAUCCACUGACAAAUUUUGUGAUGUCAAAUGUGAAUCCCGACAGGUUCUGAUCAC